rnacentral:rRNA from 1 species
GAUCAUGGCUCAGGACGAACGCUGGCGGCGUGCCUAAUACAUGCAGGUAGAACGCUGAAGGAAGGAGCUUGCUCUUUCCGGAUGAGUUGCGAACGGGUGAGUAACGCGUAGGUAACCUGCCUGGUAGCGGGGGAUAACUAUUGGAAACGAUAGCUAAUACCGCAUAACAGUAGAUAUCGCAUGAUAGCUGCUUGAAAGGUGCAAUUGCAUCACUACCAGAUGG